AAGACUAUACUUUCAGGGAUCAUUUCUAUAGUUCUUGACUAGGAAAUGUGUUUCGAAAGUGUUGCGUCUCCCAAACCACGAUGAUGAGUGAUAGUGCACUUCUCUGAGCGUGAAUCGGAUAGUGGUCUGUGAUUUCGUCACGGUUGUCUAUCAUUGAUGAACGUUCAUUGGUUCUCUUCGAAUCUAUGAGGAGAAGUGCAUGGUCAGAGUGGU